AUACGUAGGGGGCGAGCGUUGUCCGGAAUGAUUGGGCGUAAAGGGCGCGUAGGCGGCCUGUUAAGUCUGGAGUGAAAGUCCUGUUUUCAAGGUGGGAAUUGCUUUGGAUACUGAUGGGCUUGAGUGCAGGAGAGGUUAUCGGAAUUCCCGGUGUAGCGGUGAAAUGCGUAGAGAUCGGGAGGAACACCAGUGGCGAAGGCGGGUAACUGGACUGCAACUGACGCUGAGGCGCGAAAGUGUGGGGAGCAAACAGGAUUAGAUACCCUGGUAGUCCACACUGUAAACGAUGAAUGCUAGGUGUAAGAGGUAUCGACCCCUUUUGUGCCGGAGUUAACACAAUAAGCAUUCCGCCUGGGGAGUACGGCCGCAAGGUUGAAACUCAAAGGAAUUGACGGGG
rnacentral:rRNA from 1 species